CAAAUUGAUGUGUUACUGCUCUUGAAUUUUAAAAGAAAAUAAUUUAAAAAAAUCACUUCCUGUGCUUAUUUGGGAAAAAAAAUCUAAUUCCAGUGAAAGAAUAACUGCAAAGAAAAGUACGGAAAUGACUGCUAUUUAUAAAGGAAAUUAAAUAGAUACUCUGAACAAGAAAUUCUGUGAGGAAGGUAAGCAGAAUACUCUUUGAACAUAGAUAAAAGUCAUUUGGUGAUGGCAGAAAUACAAGCACUGACUACUCUACAUGUCACUGUGAAAAUUUUUCCCUAUUCACCAUGCUUAAGGAAAGUCUAAAGGAAUUUUAUAUCUUGGAGCCCUGAACAACUUUUAGAUGUAACUGAUGAUCCACUCUUGGAAUCUUGGAGAAGUUGUGAAGGACAGAGACACGCCAAAAAACUGGAGAAAUGGAGUACUGUGGAUGUGAACAGUGAAUUUAACAUCGGACUUCGUUGAUGUAUGCCUCCUUUGAUGAUUUAUCUUCCAUAUAACUCCUCCAAUUAUGGCUCCUAAAUUUGUAUAUUUAGCCCUCAUCCCUCUCUCUGGAGUUCCAUUCUUAAGUCUCCAAUUACUCACAGACAUCAAAGACUUCAAGGUCAUCCCCUGACUCCUGGGCCAUCGCCUGUAUUCCUGACUUUUGU